UCCGCCCUCCCGUACGGCGGCGCCCCCGUAGCGGCGAUAGGGUUCGAGCCCUACUAGCGUUUCCCUCCUUCGUUUCCUGUAGCGGCGAUAGGGUUCUCCGCCCUCCCUAACGGCGGCGCCCCCGUAGGUGAUAGGGUUCUAGCCCUACCCGCGUUUCGAGCUCUCCGCCCUCCCGUACGGCGGCGCCCCCAUAGCGGCGAUAGGGUUCGAGCCCUACUCGCGUCUCUCUCCUUCGUUUCGUAGCGGCGACGGCAACGCUGUCCUCCCUCGGGAACAACGUCGCAUCCGCCCGUAUGGGGCGGCGUUGCCCCCCUCGCCGUCCUGUCGUUCUGUCCCGUCCGACGUCCCGUCUACCUUCUGCCGUACUCUUCGCCUUCUCCCGCCCUGUUGCCUGUCCCGUCUGCCAUCCCGUCCGCCUGUUCCUUUUCGACAGCCCGUAGGACUGGGGGGUGGCGUUGUUCCGUCGGUGGUGUGGGCGGCGACUUUUCCUCCACCGCACGUUCUCGGCUGUACGGCCCGGCAUGGUUUCCUCCUACGGUUGGUGUUUUUCCCGAGCCACAUAUACCUGCUAUUUCCAUGUUGCAAUGAUGGUUGCUGGAACAACACUCACCCAGGAUGCACAUAUUGGGUCGAAUAACUGAUAUCAGCAGUAGGUUGGAUGACCUGUUUAUAGGCAAUUACCUGCUGGUCUUUGGUUGGUGCGCUCUGUUUAGGAUGAUUUCCAGAACAUGACAAUCUUUUGUUACCUACUUAAGUUGCAAUUACAUUGUAUUACUUUGGGAGCUAUAUAAUCUAAAAUUUUUUAAAAUUUACAUA